rnacentral:rRNA from 1 species
CCCUUAGAUGUCCUGGGCCGCACGCGCGCUACACUGAGUGUCUGAGAUACGAGUCUGCCUGGUCCGGCAAGGUCUAGGUAAUCGCUAAAAGACACAUCAUGCUUGGGAUAGAUUAUUGCAAAUAUUAAUCUUGAACGAGGAAUUCCUAGUAAGCGCAAGUCAACAGCUUGCGUUGAUUACGUCCCUGCCCUUUGUACACACCGCCCGUCGCUACUACUGAUUGGAUGUUUAAGCGAGGUUCUCGAACUGCUAGCGAAUUAGCUUCGGUGAGGUCGCAGUGUGGGAAGUGAACCUAGCUUUGGUGUCUAGAGGAAGUAAAAGUCGUAACA